rnacentral:rRNA from 1 species
CGGGUUGUAAAGUACUUUCAGCGGGGAGGAAGGGAGUAAAGUUAAUACCUUUGCUCAUUGACGUUACCCGCAGAAGAAGCACCGGCUAACUCCGUGCCAGCAGCCGCGGUAAUACGGAGGGUGCAAGCGUUAAUCGGAAUUACUGGGCGUAAAGCGCACGCAGGCGGUUUGUUAAGUCAGAUGUGAAAUCCCCGGGCUCAACCUGGGAACUGCAUCUGAUACUGGCAAGCUUGAGUCUCGUAGAGGGGGGUAGAAUUCCAGGUGUAGCGGUGAAAUGCGUAGAGAUCUGGAGGAAUACCGGUGGCGAAGGCGGCCCCCUGGACGAAGACUGACGCUCAGGUGCGAAAGCG